rnacentral:tRNA from 1 species
CUUUAUUCGGUGUAGGGUCAUUCAAUCUUUUCGUGAUUGCGGGUGUGUAAAGA